CCAUAGAAAUGAUUACAGCAGUUUAGCCAAACAGAGGUCGAUUUUUCUUCUCUACCUGGAACUCCAGAGAGGGCAGUGGCCUUGGCUCUCUGAAUCUGCCCCAGGAUGACCUGGUCCACCAUCCUCAAGGCCGGUUCAUAGAGAUCUGGCUGAAUCUGCUUGGUGUUAUAUGGAUGUACUGAAACUUCUUAAAUGAUUCUCCUACUGAAGGGCAUUUAGCUCGCUUCCAUUUGUUACCCACAAUGCUGCAGUGCACAGUUCUCCACAAUGGACUUUAAUCACCUCUGCUCCGCGAAGAGAUUUGACAGCCCAGCGCUCUGGUUGCAUAGGAACAACAGCGAGCAGGUUGCACAAAUGUCUGGCUGCUUCCUGAAUUGGGGAGCACACAAGUCUCCACACGGUCCCCAUCGUCAAGAAGGCAAAGAGGAAUAAGGCCAGUGUGUUACAGAACCUAGCCCUGCACAUCUGAUCCAGGAAAGAAGCUUCUUCUGGUGUGAAACCGGUGUGAGAUUUUCUUCAUGAUGGGCCUAAUCGUACUCUCCAUUCCAGGCAAAUGGUCCGAACCUUCUCGUAGAACACCUGCAGUCCUCCCCGUGUUACUUCACGCAGGUCUGCUUUGACACCCUGGUAGAGACCACCAGGCUCUACACACCUGCCCUCUCACCAUUCAGCAGGAAGACGUAAAAGUUGAGAGAAUGGCCUUUGGAGUCCGGCCGGAGUGCGAAUUCAGGUCCUGCCAAUUAACUACCUAUUACCACCACUCAGCUUUGCUUUCUUCAUCUGUCCGUUGGAGAGGGUGAAAUGAAUGACAGCUCUUGUUUGCAGUCGGCACAAACUAAGUGCAUCAGGUGAAUCAUCUGUCC